ensembl:lncRNA
CACAUAUACAUCUGCCCUCACUUUCAGAAUAGUGAAACCUCUAUGAUACUCUGAUUACUUAUCUCCAAGCAUUUGAUACCAGAGUAGUCAUAUGGGGCUGCAUAAAGAACUUAGAAGGGGGUUGUGCUGUGGCAGUUAAUCAUAGUUAAUGUGGUGCCAAGGAAGAAGAGAAAACAUCUUUAUGACUGUAAGUGGAAAAAGGAUGAAUUAAACAGAGCUUGGAAGAGCAGCUGUGUUGCAGGGGAGCCUCAGGCUUUUGGUGUGGUUGCAGGAAAUGGGCUGCAUGCAUCUUGAGGGGUGCCCACAAACACGCUCAGGGCUUUCAGAAAUGUAUUUAGGUCACUGACACUUUGAAAGCUUUAUGCAUUUUGAUCCUAGGGGCUGUAACAAAGGCAUGUAAACUCAAAGUGAAAGCUAGCAUCCAUCCGUGGCUGGUCUUAUUGUAUCCACAGGAAUUUCAGAUCAAUGAAGGAUGUUAGCAAUUAUGUGCUGAAAUAACUAAGUACAAUGGGAUGAGGGUCAGAAGGAGGUGAUGGAUGUCCUUUCCCAGCAGUAGUGGUGCCCUCCUUGGAUUUGUAGAACUGCGUACAAAACACAUUUUCAUUUCAACAUCGCUAAGAGCUCACAUGGCCGAUAGAAAAUGACCCUAAUGUACAACUGUUAUAUUUCUACAAGAAGGAGACUAUGUUCGGGGCAAAGGAUUUUAAUCUUCCAUAGUAAAUGAAGGCACAGAAGUCUUGUAAUCUCUGACACUGUUUUACAGUCAGAACCUGGAAGGCUACCUUCAGAUUAUGGAAGCUGGCAAAAUUCAUAACCUGGCAAAAGGAAAAAUAUUCACAUAACUCUCGGCAAGAACCCAAAUCAAACCAUUCUUUUUAAUUGCAGAAAGAUGAAGCCUCUGGACAAAAUGUGUUCCAAAUAAUAUAAUCUGCACUUCCUGUCACAUAAAGAAAACUCUUCUCAAGAUGCUGACUGGGAGACUCUUCCCCCACCUCUUGCAUCAUGGAUAAUCAAUAUUUGCCUGGAUGAUGCUGAUGAUGGACAAUACGCUGGGUCUGCAAUAACAUUGACUCAAAAUUCCUUGCUCAUUGUGAGAUAACUUCCUAAAGAUUGCGAGCAAAAGGAAGUCAGAGAACAAAGCAAUGUCAAGUAUGCACAUGUCACAACACAAUGCGCUGAUUCCAAGUCUUUGGAAACAUGCUGAAAGAUGUCUGGAAAAAAAAAAAAAAAGAAGAAAAAAAAAAAAAAGGAAAUGCUUUCACACAGAAUUUCGACAUGAAAACAACAGCUGAAUGUGCCUGUUCCUGCCAGGAAAAAAUACCCUGAAAAAACAAAAGGUGCUGGAAAACUAGAAAUGAAAUCAUCACAUGCUACACAAGAGGAUAUGAGCAGAGAUCAAGCCCAUUGAAAACAAACCGAGAGGUUGACCAGCCUACUGGGGUGACUGAAAGGCCAGAAAAGAUGCUGCGGGAAGACUUCCAAGCAACAAUAAAUAUUGAAGUUCUUUCCAACUCAAUGUUUUGAAAUGUCUUAGAAGUUUUAACCAAAAGGCCUUGCUAUGAUCAACUCUAGUAGGGGAAUAAGAGUAAUAUUUCCACAAGAAAUAUUUUAUUUUCAAUGGUACUUUCUCCAAAAACCACCAAUGGAGAAGUGGUGGGAUUUGAUGACAACAUAGACUUUAAAAAUGUAAUAAACUUAUCUAAUGGAAAAGAUGAUGACAGCUUUCAAAGAUAUGUCCACCAACAAGAACUGCUGCAGCCAGAUGUUUUGGUCAAAUUCGAGUACGUCACUGAGAUACUGAGCAAGCUCAAAACAGAACAGCUGAUUGCUUUGAAGAGCCAACACUUGAAAUUACUUAAAGCACUCUUCUACCAAAGAGACAGAAGACAGCUUUCAUAUUCUCGAGUCAUCCUACAAAGUCCUGCGUGAAAUAGACUACUGCAGCCUACAGGCAUCAUAGAAAUAUUUCAGUCAAGACCACAAGUUCCACUCUUGCCCCUAUGCUUAUGCUAAUGUGCACGAUCUCUUUGAUGAACAACAGCAAGGAGACUGGAUAGCUUGAGGUGUAAUUGAUGGGAUGCUGAAGGUCUGGCUGUUGUUUUGGUGGUUAUUUUUAUAGAUUAUAAAGGAACUGACCAUGCAGUGCUACCUCAACUUGUGGCUGAAUCUAACAGCUUCAUGGACUCAGCCCUCCAUUUAGCCCAUUUGGUCAAAUUAGGCUGGUGGUAACUGAAAGCUGUGACCAGCUGAUGGCUAUGUUGAAUGAUAGCUUGUGGAAAUCUCCUUAGUGGACUCAGACCAAAUUUUACUGACAGAAUCUCACUAUCUCCAAGCAAAUUCCUCCAAAAUAAAUGCUAACUCAAGGCUCAGGGGCAACCACAGGUUUAAAGACAAGGAGGGUGAACUUGUGUCUUCUCUAGAAGUAUUUUCUGUAAGCCAGCAAUGAAGUGAAAAAAAGGCACAUUUGUGUCAGCACCACCCAGGCUGUCAAUAAAGAACUCCUGCCCUCAGAACUAUCAAAUCAAAUUCAUAUGAAUUUCCCACUCUUCCAAAACCACUUUCCCACAGGGAAGAAGGGAUCACAAAAUUAAACAGCAUUCCCUUCUUCUCACAUCUUUGUAAUCUGCAAGCACUGUGCCUGUCACAGUGCUCCCAGGAGGUUUCCUUAACCAUAAUGUCUCAUCUCUGCAAACAGCUGUUUCCCUUUUGCACAAGAGUUCUUGGAGAUAUGCUUCACUUAUCAGAACUAUACCACUGAAAAGCUGGUAAAUAACCAAGUUCUGUUGGAAAGAUGAAAUUGCACUGCAGAUAGAUGGAUUUGCUUAACCUAUAAAAUAAUUCUGAGAUAGCUAUUGUUUUGGCAAAAUUCUAAAAUGUAACAAAGUUUGAUUGUUCUUGGCUUCUCCUAAUUUGCUUACUUUGGGGUAAUAGCUGGCCUUCAAUAUGCAUGUUAGUCUCGUUACUGUUAAGUUAAAUAUAUACACACAUAUCUAAGAGAGGUUUGACCAUUUACUGUCAGUGUUCCAAGGUUAGCUGAAGUCUGGACCUAUUACUUUCUCUGUGCUCCACUAAUUGAGACCAAGGCUUAUGCAAGACUUCCUUGGGGAUCACAGGGUCUGAGGUUUUUAUAGUCCACAAGGCUAAAAUUCAAAUAUGAACCACAGCUGUUUGGAUGGAAGUCCUGGACCUCAUCCUUUUGAACUAUAGUGACCUGCUCAGCCUUGCCAUCAUGUGAAACUCAGAAAUCCCUGCACAGAUGAUGACUGGGAUGUGAAAAUUGCCUGCCAAGCAGACCUGGGUAAAGUGAUUGGUUUACAGUGCUCUGGGAUUUGCAGGUGAAAGGACUGCUCUCUCACUCUCCUCUGCUACCCUCUUCCCCUCCAUUUCUGUACAUAUCAUUCUUUUAUAUAUAUAUAUAUAUGCAGAUUUGAUUCCACAUUCACCACCCAAACAGCUGAAUUGAUGUUCCUAUUGAAGAUGGUGAAGUUCCUCCCUUCUGCCAAGUACAGUUAUUUUUAUGAGUCCCCAGUAAGAGGUAAAGUAAGAGAAACAGGGUGUGGGAUAAACUAGUUAAUCUAUUUAAAUAGGGAUAGACCUCUAGCGCCCUAACACUUAAAUACUUUGUCUUCACUCGGCUGUGCUAUAUUUUAACUGGGGACUACAACCAGGACAAACAAGCGUGGCCUUUUCCUACUGUGGAUUGUCAUGCGAAAAUAUUUGUGAAGGGGUGGAGUAAACAUUUUUGGGGAUCACACUGCAAGAGGAGAUAUAUGGGAACUCACUGUGAUGCAAAAGGAAAUCAUGUGUUACUCCACAGAUGAUGUGAUUGGCAUUGUGAGCUCAGAUGCGUAAAGACUAUCGAGGCAAAAAAAUCAAGAUUGAAGCAGAAUGAAAUGCUCCUUUCUUCGGUAAGUCAGUGGGAGUCAUAAAUACUUCUGCAUCAGCUAGGAAAGCUACAAAAAACUAAAUCACAACUCUAUUUUCAUGCUGAUGCAUGCACUUUAAAGUAAUAUAUAUAAAAAUGCCUUCCUUUUGGCAUAACUGCAAUUACAUAAAUAUUUAGAUUUAUACUAAUAAGUAAUUUUGCAGAAGUUUAAAAUGAUAGGCUGCGUGAUAGCUAUUUAAGGGGAUGGGCAGCCCACCUUCCAGUGGCCACAGUGACUUCCAUCAAGUCGUAAUUGCAGGAGAGGGUGCUUCUGGAAAUUAAUGGUGAAUCUUAUAUUCCCUUGCAUUUAGAAUCCAAAUCUAUUAUUUCAUUACUACUGUUAAUUAUAUAACAAUCAUAUAAUAAUUAUAAAAAUAAUUAUAUAAUAACUAUGUCUGAAUAAAUAAUAAGCAUUUUCAAUAUUAAUGACUGCCUAGCAAGCAAGGCAAAGCAGAUCUUAAUCUGGUUUGAGUUUCUAUCCUUACACAUUCAUUUUACUCUUGCAAAGCAUAUUAAAUACUAUGGAAUGUAUAAAAAAGGCCACAAUUUCUUCUCUAUUGGUAUACUGAAAGUCUUUGUGUGUCCAAGGUAAUAGGAAUUCCCACAUUCGUGCUUACUGUAAAAUACAGCAAGCAAAAGCUAGAUAAAUUCUGUUUAAUAUGGAAAUAAUUUUGGCUGCAUCUUUGGCUUUGUAUGACAUGGAAACUGGUGAUUGUUUAUGCUUUGCUACUUUUUUUGGUCUGCAUUAAAAUCCCACAUGAGAAACAAAUUUUUCUCUAGGAACAAAAUGUUACUUUUUUGGGACUGAGUUCUAAUAAGUUGGGUAGUACGUCUGCUUCUUUUCAGCUGGGAAAUUGCAAUGCAUAUAAAAUCCAGAUGGAUAACACAUGAGGCUGGAAGCAGCCUUGGCCAAUCAGCCACGUCACUUGAUUAAAAGAAACCUAUAAUAAUUUAAGUAAAAAUAGUACCCUAACAAAGUAACAGAGCAACAAACUGGCUGCAGCAUGCGAUUUCAUCACAGUUCCAAUAUUGCUUUACUUUUGCUGGUUGGUCCUUUCAUAUCUUAUUGUAAAUUAACCUAUUUGCAUUAAGCGUGCAUGGAACUUGUGAUUAAAGCCCCAAAAUGUCAGUGAUGGAAGAUACAUGAUAAGCAGGAUGAGGGGGUAAAUCCAUCACCAGACUACAGAAGGCCACAAGGACCUAUUGCUCUUAGGGCAGUGGUGCACUUGAAGAACUCAGCUGAGAGUUUUGCCAUGAGGAAUCACCUACCCUGGCACGUGCCACACUAGUGCAGACCAGUACUUUUUGUAUGGAUUUUGUCUGUGACUGUCAGAAAGCAAGUAAGUGCAUCAAUGCAAUUACAAGGUCACUCUGCGGAAAAACUCCUGACUAUCCCGCGAGAUGCAGCAGAUUUGUGGGUGAGACUGUCUAAGGCAGCCUGUGAAGAAGUCACAGACAGGACUUGCAGAGGGAUGGAGCCACAUCUGGAAUCCCUGUGGGCAAUUGAAGGAAUGUUUAUUAUUCUUUGUUUAUUAUUUUGAGUGUGUACUCUCCCUCUUCCUUUCUUUGUCUCUCUUUGUUAUUUGUGUAAUAAAAUUCCUCUAGGCAUACAAAGUAAGUAAGUCAUCUGGAAUUGUGCAGUUCCCUCUGCCAGGAAGCUGGAAAAGCCUCUCGUGCAGAGACAAAAAUAUGGGCUCAUCUCAAACACUGAGAAAUUACAGAAAUAUUCACCAUUUGCCUUUGAGUUAUAUUUACAUAGGAAAGAACUGUGGCAAAUACGUGUGCUUCUUGCUGUUAAAAAAAAUUGGCUUUUAUCCUGCCCAAGGUGUUGUGUUUAUUUAAAGGUUGUUGAGAAAUAAUUUGUACGUUCUAAAAUAAAGCAUGCAAAAUACAUUAAAAGGGCCCAGUGACAAAGUUGUUUUUUUUUUUUUGCCAGUGGGUGUGGAGAAGGAAAAGGAAAUGAGUAAGUAGAGAGGAGCGUCUUUAUGGCCACAUGGCUAGUGAAAAUUUCUAUUUAUUCUUUGGGGAAAAAGCAAAGUAGCUGCAUAGUUGCUGGUUGGAUAGGUGCCGGGACUAUUUUUAUUGGCAGGCAGCUCUGAGUGGCUGAAAGGCGGUCAUUAACACUCUGACACAAAGUGCUGACAGGGCGAUUAUAAGAUUAACACCCUAUGUUAUAUUAACAGUGUCAAAACCUCCCCGUACCUGUCAGUGAGAAAUAAUGGCACGAAGGAAAACAUUAUAGACAUGCUGAGACUUUAGCAUUGAAAUACCAUGCAGCUAUUCACUUUUUGAAAUUGAUCUAAAUAUCUAGAUGACCUACUGAAGGCUCAUAAAAUAAUGUGAUUUAAAUGGCAGCUUCACCAAAUCAAAAAAUGAAUGCAAAAGUUAAGCCGCCCAGCUUACUUACUCUCUUGUUGACACUUUUAGCCCUGAUCUCCCUGGCAGUGGGUCUCUCACAACUGCUGCCUUUCAGUAGAGUUAUGGUUUGAGAUCUCAUAAAUUUAGGAUUUGACCUUAGGACUUUUGACAAAAACAGAGCUUUUCUGGAGAAUAUUAUUACUGGUCAAAAUUCAACCUCGGUCUUUCUCCAGGACUGCUAGUCAUCAUAGACUGGUUUUAUCAGUGAGAGCCUUUGGACCAUAAGGACCAAUCUGCAUUUAAAAUGUCUCUGCUCCACGUUCAUUAGAACUGGAAUAGCAAACCCUCUGGCAUAGCUGUCCUGGAGAAUAUCCAAAGAAUGGCAACGAAACCAGUGAAGUUUCUGGAUCACAAGUCUUAUGGAGAGCAACUGAGGGAAAUGAGAUUGGUCAUUCUGGAGAAGGUGAGGUUCGGGGAAGACCUUAUCACACUCUACAGCUGCCUAAAAGGAGGUUGUGGUGAGAUGAGGGCUCUUCUCCCAGGUUUCAGUGAUAGGAUGAGAGAUGAUGACCUUAAAUUGCACCAGGGGAGGUUCAAGUUGGAUAUUAGGGAAAAUUUCUUCUCAGGAGUGGUGAUGCACUGGCACAGGCUGCUCAGGGAGGCGGUAGAGUCACUGUCCCUGGAGGUGUUCAAGAAAAGGGUGGGUGUGACACUGAGGGACAUAAUCUAGAGCAGUCGUGGCCAUGGCUUGAUGGUUGGACUAGAUGAUCGUAGUGGUCUUUUCAACCUUGAUGAUUCUAUGAUAGCUUCAGCUAGACUGCCUUAUGCUGCCUUAAGUUCUGCCAGUUUUGAUUAAGAGGAUAAGCCAGGAGAAAAAAAGUUCUUCCUGUAAGACUAAAUCUGUACCUUCACUAGUAAAAAAUAUUGUUCAAGUGUUGCCAGGCAAAGCAUUAUUUCUGUAUUUUUAUUAUUAUAUUUUAUGUUGUAUAUGAUGAUAAUACAGUCUAUAUAUUUUUGUCUGUAAGACUGAUAAAUAAAAUGCAAAUUAAAUAUUCUUCUAAUACUUUGGUUUCUAACCAAAUAAAGACAUGGUCAAAUCACCCCACGUGCCAGGAAAUGCUUCUGAGUUGCAUAAGAAAGGUUUGAUAGUUUUAAGUAAGUGGGAUCUGGGGGGUUUACAGAAUGUUGCAAUGCCAUCAUACCUUAU